UCUGACUGUGUUUAUAAUUUCCUGAAUGAGUUGCGCUGGCAGAAUCUCCAGCCACCAUGACUCCACUGGUGCUGCUCUCGGUCUUCGUUGUCUUCUUUCAGGACUCAAGUUGUCAAAUUUCUGUGAAUCAACCAUCAUCACCAAAGUCAGUUUCCAUUGGAGGGAGUGUCACCUUCAGCUGUACCACUGGGAGUGAUGUGAGUAACUACAUGGCCUGGUAUCAGCAGAGACCUGGAGAAAAACCUAAAUCACUGAUCUACUAUACAAGCAAUCGUUUCGAUGACACCCCAAGUCGAUUCACUGGCAGUGGUUCAGGAACUUCAUACAGUAUGACCAUCAGUGGAGUCCAGCCUGAAGAUGCUGGCCACUACUACUGUCAGCAGCAUUACACCACUCCUCUCACACAGUGAUUGAGACUCGUACAA